CGUUGGCCCAAGAUGGUAAAGUAUUUGAACACGCAUAUGGGUGACAGAAAAGGACUACAACCACACAGGACCAUGGAUGGCCCCAAUCUCAGGGGGUCUCUCUUCACACAGAGUCAGUGUUUCGAGCCCAGGUAAGACAGAAGACAGGAUUUUGUAAAUUAAAAACCCAGUGGAAUAAGGAGGAAGUGGGAGA
rnacentral:lncRNA from 1 species